rnacentral:rRNA from 1 species
AAUAGAUACCCAGGUAGUCCACGCCCUAAACGAUGUCAACUAGCUGUUGGGGGCUUCGGCCCUUGGUAGCGCAGCUAACGCGUGAAGUUGACCGCCUGGGGAGUACGGUCGCAAGAUUAAAACUCAAAGGAAUUGACGGGGACCCGCACAAGCGGUGGAUGAUGUGGAUUAAUUCGAUGCAACGCGAAAAACCUUACCUACCCUUGACAUGUCUGGAAUCCUGAAGAGAUUUGGGAGUGCUCGCAAGAGAACCGGAACACAGGUGCUGCAUGGCUGUCGUCAGCUCGUGUCGUGAGAUGUUGGGUUAAGUCCCGCAACGAGCGCAACCCUUGUCAUUAGUUGCUACGAAAGGGCACUCUAAUGAGACUGCCGGUGACAAACCGGAGGAAGGUGGGGAUGACGUCAAGUCCUCAUGGCCCUUAUGGGUAGGGCUUCACACGUCAUACAAUGGUCGGGACAGAGGGUCGCCAAGCCGCGAGGUGGAGCCAAUCCCAGAAACCCGAUCGUAGUCCGGAUCGCAGUCUGCAACUCG